UACAGAGGGUGCAAGCGUUGUUCGGAAUUAUUGGGCGUAAAGCGCGUGUAGGCGGCUUUGCAAGUCGGGUGUGAAAGCCCUCAGCUCAACUGAGGAAGUGCGCCCGAAACUGCAGAGCUUGAGUACCGGAGAGGGUGGCGGAAUUCCCCAAGUAGAGGUGAAAUUCGUAGAUAUGGGGAGGAACACCGGCGGCGAAGGCGGCCACCUGGACGGUCACUGACGCUGAGACGCGAAAGCGUGGGGAGCAACCAGG
rnacentral:rRNA from 1 species